CACCACUUACCUGAAACUCUACUCCCCUGCCACAAUCUCCUUUCACAGUUGGGUAUUAUACUUCUGUAACCACUCACCUCCAGUCCGCCCUUGCUCCUCCUGUGGUCUUCAGUGAUUUGCGCUGUUUGGGAUGGCUUCCCCAUUCAUCCUCCAUGACACUGACACUCUGUCUGCAAUGCCAGUAAAAAAACUCUCUAGCCAGCACUAGCAACAGAAGGGCCACCUGUGGGAGGACUUUUC